rnacentral:rRNA from 1 species
ACGAACGCUGGCGGCACGCUUAACACAUGCAAGUCGAACGAGAGAAGAGGAGCUUGCUUUUCUGAUCUAGUGGCGGACGGGUGAGUAACACGUGAGCAAUCUGCCUUUCAGAGGGGGAUACCGAUUGGAAACGAUCGUUAAUACCGCAUAACAUAAUUGAACCGCAUGAUUUGAUUAUCAAAGAUUUAUCGCUGAAAGAUGAGCUCGCGUCUGAUUAGCUAGUUGGUAAGGUAACGGCUUACCAAGGCGACGAUCAGUAGCCGGACUGAGAGGUUGAUCGGCCACAUUGGGACUGAGACACGGCCCAGACUCCUACGGGAGGCAGCAGUGGGGAAUAUUGCACAAUGGAGGAAACUCUGAUGCAGCGAUGCCGCGUGAGGGAAGAAGGUUUUAGGAUUGUAAACCUCUGUCUUCAGGGACGAAAAAAGACGGUACCUGAGGAGGAAGCUCCGGCUAACUACGUGCCAGCAGCCGCGGUAAUACGUAGGGAGCGAGCGUUGUCCGGAAUUACUGGGUGUAAAGGGAGCGUAGGCGGGAUCGCAAGUCAGAUGUGAAAACUAUGGGCUUAACCCAUAAACUGCAUUUGAAACUGUGGUUCUUGAGUGAAGUAGAGGUAAGCGGAAUUCCUAGUGUAGCGGUGAAAUGCGUAGAUAUUAGGAGGAACAUCAGUGGCGAAGGCGGCUUACUGGGCUUUAACUGACGCUGAGGCUCGAAAGCGUGGGGAGCAAACAGGAUUAGAUACCCUGGUAGUCCACGCCGUAAACGAUGAUUACUAGGUGUGGGGGGACUGACCCCUUCCGUGCCGCAGCAAACGCAAUAAGUAAUCCACCUGGGGAGUACGACCGCAAGGUUGAAACUCAAAGGAAUUGACGGGGGCCCGCACAAGCAGCGGAGCAUGUGGUUUAAUUCGAAGCAACGCGAAGAACCUUACCAGGUCUUGACAUCGUAUGCAUAGCUCAGAGAUGAGUGAAAUCUCUUCGGAGACAUAUAGACAGGUGGUGCAUGGUUGUCGUCAGCUCGUGUCGUGAGAUGUUGGGUUAAGUCCCGCAACGAGCGCAACCCUUACUGUUAGUUGCUACGCAAGAGCACUCUAGCAGGACUGCCGUUGACAAAACGGAGGAAGGUGGGGAUGACGUCAAAUCAUCAUGCCCCUUAUGACCUGGGGCUCACACGUACUACAAUGGCUGUCAACAGAGGGAUGCAAAGCCGCGAGGUGGAGCGAACCCCUAAAAGCAGUCUUAGUUCGGAUUGUAGGCUGCAACCCGCCUACAUGAAGUCGGAAUUGCUAGUAAUCGCAGAUCAGCAUGCUGCGGUGAAUACGUUCCCGGGCCUUGUACACACCGCCCGUCACGCCAUGGGAGUCGGUAACACCCGAAGCCUGUAGUCUAACCGCAAGGAGGACGCAGUCGAAGGUGGGAUUGAUGACUGGGGUG